rnacentral:rRNA from 3 species
UGGGGAAUAUUGCGCAAUGGGCGAAAGCCUGACGCAGCGACGCCGCGUGAGGGAUGAAGGUUCUCGGAUCGUAAACCUCUGUCAGGGGGGAAGAAACCCCCUCGUGUGAAUAAUGCGAGGGCUUGACGGUACCCCCAAAGGAAGCACCGGCUAACUCCGUGCCAGCAGCCGCGGUAAUACGGAGGGUGCAAGCGUUAAUCGGAAUCACUGGGCGUAAAGCGCACGUAGGCGGCUUGGUAAGUCAGGGGUGAAAUCCCACAGCCCAACUGUGGAACUGCCUUUGAUACUGCCAGGCUUGAGUACCGGAGAGGGUGGCGGAAUUCCAGGUGUAGGAGUGAAAUCCGUAGAUAUCUGGAGGAACACCGGUGGCGAAGGCGGCCACCUGGACGGUAACUGACGCUGAGGUGCGAAAGCGUGGGUAGCAAACAGG